rnacentral:rRNA from 1 species
AGAGUUUGAUCCUGGCUCAGGAUGAACUCUAGCGACAGGCUUAACACAUGCAAGUCGAGGGGCAGCGGUGGUGAAGGCUUGCCUUUACCAGCCGGCGACCGGCGCACGUGUGAGUAACACGUAUGCAACCUGCCUGCCACGGCCGGAUAAUCGGGAGAAAUCCCGUCUAAUACGGCAUAAUGCAUCGACGGGACAUCCUGUUGGUGCCAAAGGUUGAUUCCGGUGGCGGAUGGGCAUGCGUCGCAUUAGUUAGUUGGCGGUGUAAUGGACCACCAAGACGACGAUGCGUAGGGGUUCUGAGAGGAAGGUCCCCCACACUGGUACUGAGACACGGACCAGACUCCUACGGGAGGCAGCAGUGAGGAAUAUUGGUCAAUGGGCGGGAGCCUGAACCAGCCAAGUCGCGUGAGGGAUGACGGCCCUAUGGGUUGUAAACCUCUUUUGCCGGGGAGCAAAGUGCCGCACGUGUGCGGUUUGGAGAGUACCCGGAGAAAAAGCAUCGGCUAACUCCGUGCCAGUAGCCGCGGUAAUACGGAGGAUGCGAGCGUUAUCCGGAUUUAUUGGGUUUAAAGGGUGCGUAGGCGGACGCUUAAGUCAGCGGUAAAAUUGCGGGGCUCAACCUCGUCGAGCCGUUGAAACUGGGUGCCUUGAGUGGGCGAGAAGUACGCGGAAUGCGUGGUGUAGCGGUGAAAUGCAUAGAUAUCACGCAGAACUCCGAUUGCGAAGGCAGCGUACCGGCGCCCAACUGACGCUGAAGCACGAAGGCGUGGGUAUCGAACAGGAUUAGAUACCCUGGUAGUCCACGCAGUAAACGAUGAAUGCUAGUUGUCCGGGGCGAUUGAGUUCUGGGUGACACAGCGAAAGCGUUAAGCAUUCCACCUGGGGAGUACGCCGGCAACGGUGAAACUCAAAGGAAUUGACGGGGGCCCGCACAAGCGGAGGAACAUGUGGUUUAAUUCGAUGAUACGCGAGGAACCUUACCCGGGCUCAAACGCAGGAGGGAUGUUUUUGAAAGGAGGCAGCCAGCAAUGGUCUCCUGCGAGGUGCUGCAUGGUUGUCGUCAGCUCGUGCCGUGAGGUGUCGGCUUAAGUGCCAUAACGAGCGCAACCCCUACCUACAGUUGCCAUCGCGUGAUGGCGGGCACUCUGUGGGGACUGCCUGCGCAAGCAGUGAGGAAGGCGGGGAUGACGUCAAAUCAGCACGGCCCUUACGUCCGGGGCGACACACGUGUUACAAUGGCAGGUACAGCGGGAAGCCACCCGGCGACGGGGCGCGGAACCCGAAAACCUGUCUCAGUUCGGAUUGGAGUCUGCAACCCGACUCCAUGAAGCUGGAUUCGCUAGUAAUCGCGCAUCAGCCACGGCGCGGUGAAUACGUUCCCGGGCCUUGCACUCACCGCCCGUCA